AACGAACGCUGGCGGCGUGGAUUAGGCAUGCAAGUCGAGCGGGACCAUCGAAGCUUGCUUUGAUGGUGAGAGCGGCGAACGGGUGAGGAAUACUUGGGUGACCUGCCUUUAAGUCUGGAGUAGCUUCGGGAAACUGGAGGUAAUGCCGGAUGUAAUCGUCCACUACAAAGUGGACUGUUUAAAGAGGGGGAUCUUCGGACCUCUCGCUUAGAGAUGGGCCCAAGCCCUAUCAGCUUGUAGGUGAGGUAACGGCUCACCAAGGCCAAGACGGGUAGCUGGUCUGAGAGGAUGGUCAGCCACACUGGGACUGAGACACUGCCCAGACUCCUACGGGAGGCUGCAGUCGAGAAUCAUUCACAAUGCACGAAAGUGUGAUGAUGCGAGGCCGCGUGAAGGAUGAAGGCCUUAGGGUUGUAAACUUCUGUCAGAAGGAAAGAACAGUCCGACGGGGAAUAUCCGGCGGAUUUGACGGUACCUUCAGAGGAAGCCACAGGUAACUCUGUGCCAGCAGCCGCGGUAAUACAGAGGUGGCAAGCGUUGUACGGAUUUACUGGGCGUAAAGGGUGCGUAAGCGGUUACGUGUGUCAGAUGUGAAAGCGCAUGGAUCGAGCAUGGAAUUGCAUAUGAAACUGCGGAACUCGAGUAUCGGAGAGGUAGAUGGAAUU
rnacentral:rRNA from 1 species